rnacentral:rRNA from 1 species
AGCGAACGCUGGCGGCGUGCUUAACACAUGCAAGUCGAGCGAUGAAGCUCCUUCGGGAGUGGAUUAGCGGCGGACGGGUGAGUAACACGUGGGUAACCUGCCUCAUAGAGGGGAGUAGCCUUCCGAAAGGAAGAUUAAUACCGCAUAAGAUUGUAGUGCCGCAUGGUACAGCAAUUAAAGGAGCAAUCCGCCAUGAGAUGGACCCGCGUCGCAUUAGCUAGUUGGUGAGGUAACGGCUCACCAAGGCGACGAUGCGUAGCCGACCUGAGAGGGUGAUCGGCCACAUUGGGACUGAGACACGGCCCAGACUCCUACGGGAGGCAGCAGUGGGGAAUAUUGCACAAUGGGGGAAACCCUGAUGCAGCAACGCCGCGUGAGUGAUGACGGUCUUCGGAUUGUAAAACUCUGUCUUCAGGGACGAUAAUGACGGUACCUGAGGAGGAAGCCACGGCUAACUACGUGCCAGCCGCCGCCGUAAGAC